GUUAAAGGAAGAAUGCUGUACAUUAGCCAAGAAACUGGAACAAAUCUCUCAAAAAACCAGAUCUGAAAUAGCUCAACUCAGUCAAGAAAAAAGGUAUACAUAUGAUAAAUUGGGAAAGUUACAGAGAAGAAAUGAAGAAUUGGAGGAACAGUGUGUCCAGCAUGGGAGAGUACAUGAGACAAUGAAGCAAAGUGGCACACAACUGGGCAGGCUCCAUCUCGUCUGCUGCUGGAGCCCACUAGAAACCAAAUGAGCCCUCCAGCAGGCCUAAUCACUCUGAUCUGUCAUGGACCUUCUAGCUGGAAGAGUUAUGCCAUCAUAUUAUCCCAACACUCAUCACUGUGUGGAGGACCCCCUUUUACUAAAUGAUUUAUUGCUCUUUGCAGAAUUCCUUUGGCUGCAGAUUUUAUUUCUGAGUCACUCUGUUCAGCUCAAUUGGUCGCCUUCAGUUACCGUGGCAACCAGCAGAUGGGGUUCUUUGACAAGGGUCAGCGGGGAGGCUGCCUUGGUUUAGACAGAAGAGGAGCUAAAUAAAAAGCUUUCAGCAUUGACAGUUCUGUAGUGGAUGGCCAGGAGUUGUUAUCAAAUUACUUGCAUUGAAGCCUAAUUAAGAUGUGUGCCAAUAA
rnacentral:sRNA from 1 species